GACGAACGCUGGCGGCGUGCUUAACACAUGCAAGUCGAACGCUGAAGCUUGGUGCUUGCGCUGGGUGGAUGAGGGGCGAACGGGUGAGUAAUACGUGAGUACCCUGCCCUUGACUCUGGGAUAAGCCUGGGAAACUGGGUCUAAUACUGUAUACGACAUGUCACCGCGUGGUGGUGUGUGGAGAGGGUUUUACUGGUUUUGGAUGGGCUCACGGCCUAUCAGCUUGUUGGUGGGGUAAUGGCUCACCAAGGCGACGACGGGUAGCCGGCCUGAGAGGGUGACCGGCCACACUGGGACUGAGACACGGCCCAGACUCCUACGGGAGGCAGCAGUGGGGAAUAUUGCACAAUGGGCGGAAGCCUGAUGCAGCGACGCCGCGUGAGGGAUGACGGCCUUCGGGUUGUAAACCUCUUUCGGCUCGGACGAAGCGAAAGUGACGGUACGGGCAGAAGAAGCGCCGGCUAACUACGUG
rnacentral:rRNA from 1 species